AGCAAUGGCGCGGUACUGUGAUGUUGAAAUGUCAACUGGACGUGCGCAAAUAUUUCCACGAUAACACGUCUUCUGUUUCCUUGGAUGUGUCAGGACGCAGUGCGCCAUCCAAGUUAUUGUGAUCGAACCCACUCUGUAGGACCUUGCAUGAGAAAGCAAUGAAGCCAAGAUGAGCACCGUCAAGCUAAGUAAACUGUGAUGCGCCACCUUCGUCAAAUCCAUGCAAAGUCUAUCGUAAACAUGUAGAGUGUUGCUCCGUCUUGCUUGUAGGCUGGAGGAAUAUGCGAACGUAGCACAUGCAAAGAAGAUACCAACACCUGUCACCAAGAAGGACGACUGAGUCCAAGCAAAAGUCUUUGAACUUGAACUCCUUCUAUACAGUAAUUAAUCUUAUCUGUGGGGCCUGGCCCUGUCAGGGUGCUUUCUUGGCAGCUUUUUGCCAGUGCCUCCAAUCACAACUGUACCAUCACUACUCCCGUGACACUAAACACAUUCCAAACCUAAAUAUGCCUCAAGCUCACUAUCACAUAAUGGAAGACUGGCCAUUGCCUAAUUAACCGAAUGCAGUAAGGAUUGGAUUUGUGGAUACCACACGACUUGAGCGUAGUCGAUGACCAAGCAUAUAAAUCCUUUGUAAGAGCUUUUGUAGUGCUGUCAGUGGUGCCAGUAGUUCAUUUCAGGUCAUUUGUGAUUGUUGCACCAGGAUGCUUGUGAUGUGAGACCUAAGUGAGAACUGAACCCACAGAAGCACAAUUGAACAACAACGGUGUUUGUCUUUUGGCAAAUGGUUUGGUUGGUAGUUGUUCGACUUUGAUACAUGUGACGCUUUGAUGUGUUUAAUAUACAGGGUGUCCCAGGAAACGUGUCAUUGAAUUAUAAUAAAAAAGCUACACCACCUAGAAUCAUGCGGUCAACGGCAUUUGCUCUUAUUAGGUUUUAGCCACCUCCUGAUGCGAGUGUCGUGUAACGUAAGUGUAACUCAUUGUUCAGAUUUGGGUAAAUUUGGCACGCUCUUUACAUUGGUGGGGUAAAAAAGUGACCUUUACUUGGCAGAUUUCCGAGUCGCAAAAAUUUGCAUUAUUACACUGACUAUUUAUUAUGACAUACACAUCAGGAGGUGGGAAAAACCUAGUAAGAACAAAUGCCGUUGACCGCAUGAUUCUAGAUGGUGUAAUUUUUCUAUUAUAAUUCAGUGGCACAUUUUCUGGGACACCCUGUAUGUGCAUAAUACAGUCAUGUCUCGAUUAUCCGGACACCUCGGUAGUCGUGUCUGUUCGUCUGGAUAACGAAUUUCUGGAUAACCGAAGCAAGCGAAAUUCCGCGAAAACCCGAAAAGUGUGGGAGACAUCUUUAUAGCUCCAGGAAAGGGGACAAGGAAAAGAUGGAUACUUCAAAAACCCAUACAAAGUGAGCUGCUCGAAAUUAGUAGGAGCCACGGUACCCGCUGCACCACCCUACUGUUCAAAGGAGGGGAAUGUCCCAGAAAGUUGGUCACGCGCACAUGUUUUUGUAUUUUUGGAAAUGUCUUUGGCAUAGGUCAAAAGACAGGAGAUGCUUUCGGACGGCCUCGACAUUGAUGUUCACAUGUAGAUCUCUUUCGCACGGUGGAUACAGGGCACCUCUUCUUACCGCGUAUCGUCUACCAUCUCUACCGUGUGCUCGCGCACACACCAAAAGGGAGUGACAGCUGAAGAAAUGGGGUCAAACAGUACAGAAUGCCCCAGCGAGAUGUGACCCAUUUCUGGAAUAAUGCGAACACAGCACAUGCCACGAACAGAGGACGUUGACACUUUUCCAUACAAGCGAAUCAGAAUGACCUAGGUCCUGGAAGAUUGGUCCCCGUGCCUGCUGUCCGGAUACGGAUAACGAAUUCCGGAUAACACAUACAAAAUCCAAUGGUAGCAGGUUCGUUCCCGGUAAUGUAGUCUGGAUAACGAGUUUUCUGGAUAUCUGAACUCCGGAUAAGCGAGGCAUGACUUAUUUGACAUUAGUUAAUUUACUUGGCAUUUCUCAACGACCUUGACAUAGCUACCAUGAUUUUCCUUGUCACAGUCCAUAGUAACAUAUAUAGCAGUGUAUUUGUAGGUGGAUUUGUGUGUUCAUGUUAGGACGGUGCUCAGCCAUUUGUGGUGUGCAGUAAUUUGUGUAACUGUGUGUAGCGUUUGUAUCAGUCUUCGUGGUUGUAUUCUCUCACACUUAAAGUUUUUCAUCAUGUACUCACCCUGCAUUAUCUACUAGAACUCACUAAUAUUUGCUUGUGAGACGCGACGAACAAAGCAAGGAAUACACACACACGAUGUCGCACUUUCAGCCGAGUACAUAAAUUAAAGUACAAUAAAGUACAAAACAUGAAACAUGAAACAUCUACUGGGAUCUUGUACAGAUCCGCAGAUACACAUGUUCAACAAGUAGUAGAAACGGUUAAUAUAGAGAAGAAGAAAGACUCUUUUUAACUUCCCUACUGCCAAGUUUAUUAAAAAAACAAGGUAACCUGAUUCUACUCAGUACAUGGUUUGGGUAAUAGGCAGAAAGAACUGUGGGAGGGGAUGCUCAAACAGGUUUAUUUAGAUCGAGUUUCACGUUUCGUACUAUUGUAUUUUCAUUUGUGUACUAAAUGGUCCAAAGUAAGUAUGACAUCGUCUAUGCGUCUUCCUUGUUUUGUUUGUCGCUUCUCACAAGCUAUGUACCAACCUGCCCAGUAUUUAUUGUUGUCCCUAAUGUCUUCAGCUUUCCCCUUCUUUUGUGGGAAAUUUUAUCGCAGAACGAUGCUACCAAUCAAAUUGGUUCCUUGUAAAAUUCACUGAAAUAUGCUUUGCGUAUGCUGUCCUUUUAGAUAUUAUAUUCUCACCCAGCUGAGACUGUGCAUGAGUCACUUCAAGACAUAUCCCAACACACGUGGCUAGUUAGUUCGCAAUCAUUCAUUUAGUUUGAUCAAUGUUGAUGUAUUCGAGAUUGUAUUCUCUCUCAUUUGUGGUUUUUCCGUCACAUGCUCGCCCUACUUUAUGUGAUGCCUGCUGGUCCUUAACGAAUUCACCAUAUCUAAAUAAAUAAAUGUGGUUAAUUACACCACGAAGAAGACCGAGAGAUACGGACAGAGAAGACGACACACGCAAGUUCUCUGAGGACUUGCAUGUGUGUCCGUGUCCCUCGGUCUUCUUCGUGGAUCUACACCAGCUAGCCUGCACCCUUUCCCUUGUUUCAUUUCAUUGUGCUGUAUGCCGAAGUGCUGGGCAAAAAAGAAUAAUUUUUUUCGUAAGUUGUAGUGGACGAGGUAGAAGUCCUUCAACAAACUUCAGUGGCGAGUUCUGCGGCCGAAAGAGCAAGAGCCCUGGCCACCAUUCUUAUUGGUUCUCGUUAGAUAAAACUGUUGCAAGGAUGGCAUGAGUGCCAGUACUGUUCAUACGUAUCUUCAAACACGGGCCGAUGAGACAGCACGAGCGCGUGCAAACAGGAGAGAGACCAUUCCUGUGCAGUGUUUGUGAUGCUUGCUUUAAUCAGAAAAUUGAUCUCGUGGGUCACAUGUGAAGUCACACUGGCGAGAGACCAUUCUGCUGCCAUACCUUUGGAUCAACUUUUUCGCUCAAGCAUCACCUCCAGAGACUUGCCAAAACUCAUGCUGUGCGAAACACAGUGUAGCGGAGUAGUACACCAUGACUUUUGGAUGUUUGGUUUCUUCUGACCCCUUUCAGCAAGUCUCUUUCCCUGAAGUUUGCUCCAAUAUUGUGUGCUGUAAGCAGUGGUGCUCAUGGAAGAACUCUUAGCUUGGUGACUGCUCAUCUAGAUACAAAUGCUUUCCUGCAAAUUUUAUUGCCUACAAAUUCAAAAGCAAAAAGGUGGUACAGCUUGGUCGGUCUGAUUCAUCAAAUGCACAGUGCAAACCAUUGAAAUGUGUGUUCCCUUCACAAAGCGGCCACAUAUUAUUAUACCUGAAGGGCCUUAUUGGAGCAGAAUAUUUGUGUUUUUGCUUAUUUCAGUAGAGGAUGGCUAUGUUUCUACAAUGUUUUUGGCUGUUUUUGUGUUUACAUAGUGUAAAGUGUGCGAGUGUGAGACCAUACAGUAGUGUCGGUCCCUCGACAGGAUAGAAUGAGGCUCGUGCCAAUAUGAUAUGUCAUUACGUGAACCCCUUAUGUGCCCAUCAGUCAUCCUUAUGUAGGGGUGGGUGCAGAGCCGAAGCUGCGGGUAGGGACCAGGAGGCUCUGUGGAAUGAGCUGGGGAAGUACUAGAAAAGGACACUAAAUUAUUGAAGUAUGUCUUUUAUUAUAGAAAUGCUGGCAACUUCUCUGUGUCCUCUGAUGAGUGUACAGAAUAUGACACAUUUGAGGAACGUCAUGCAUGACGUUCCUGCAGUAUACCACAUCAUACAAUUUUCCGUGACAUAUCACAUCAGGGGUUUCUUGUUUAAGUUUAAGUUAUGGAAAUUCGGCACGUGUUUAUUGGAAUCUAAUUUGCUGUUGAAAAAGUAAUAUUUUUUUGUCUAAUAUUUAUGUUAGAAAAUAAAUUCCUGGAUUUAGGUACUUAUACUAAAUUACGGGGUAAGAGUCGCGAGUUAGCUUUCCUAGCUAAGAGGUACACCACAGCCAAACAAAAGAUAAUUAAUAAUUUGUUUACACUGCACAUGAAGCAAAAUCUCACUUCACAAAUGUUGGACCUUUUAGUACACGCAGGCACACUUCAUCGUGCUGUCACAGAUAUAUCCGAAACACAGUUCACAAAAUAAGGAGAUAUGUAGUAGAGCACUGCUCGGGUUUCAGCCACCGGGCCCGGGCCGGGUACGGGCUUGACAACGCCAGCCACGGUCGUGCAUGUACGCGAACAUAUUUCACAAGACUGGACGGCUGAAUUUUCACGUUACUUUUUUUCACCAUUGGGUAUGGGAUAUCAGGAAUUCUCAUCUGAGAACUAUCACUUUUUUACAUGUGAUCAUGCUUAUUUCGUGAAUGGGUCUGGAUUUCACGCAUGCACUCAAACACAAUUGGGGACGAUUGUUGUGGCGGACGCGCUGAGGGUCUGUUAUAUUUCGUUUUUAUGAGAGUCCUGCAAGAGGGUCGGUUAGGUUAAGUGUUCUGACAUAUAUAUCGUUCGCGUGAGAGUUCAAGAAAGAGGAACUAACACCAGAGCAUGUGCAAUAAGCGGCGAUGAGUCUCUCUUGCACCGCAAUAUACAUACGCCCACGCGCCGCUGCGCGCUGCAUUCUAAAGCAAGCAAGCACCAAGCACAGAGCGGCUUGCCGGCAGAGAAAGUCGCUGCUGCAUUCGAGUGUGCCUCCUGACUCUCCACCAAUUAGCUGCGUCCUUUUCCUUGCUGCACUGUGCUCUUUAGUAAAUCUAAAUAUACCUCAGAACCUCGAGAACAGAUAGAGCAGAGGCGGGCUGGGGCUAGGCCUGAUCAGAGAAACAGUUGGGUACGGGCUGGGCCCGGGCCGGCGGAGUUGGGCUUGGGCCGGGCACGGGCCUGAAAAUUAGGCCCGUGCAGUGCUCUAAUAUGUAGUAUACUUUGAUUUUUCCAGAAACUGCCAAACCUUGCAAAAAGUAAUUUGACAGAUGGUUUUUUGGCAUUUUUCGGCAAGUGCCGAAGACCAGAAACCCUAAUUAUAUCUAAAAGCUAGGAGAUCGACAAGUACACAUCUUCCUACGAAUGGCAUGCAAAAGAAUUUUGACUCAUCACACGCUGUAUUAAAGACGAAGGAGGGGAAAGCUGCCAAGGGUUUCUAAUUGUAGAAAACAGUUGUGGGUCUGGUUGGAAGUCAUGGCGCCUUCCACCAUGUGUGGCUCAGCAGGUUAUAUGGGAUGUGGGGGAAAACAGGCAUGUUAAAUGCUGACAAUGAUUUUGUGGAAACUCAAACAAUAAGAAAUAAGCAGUUACUCUGAAGCUUCCACCAUGAAGCAAGCUACCCCCAUGCCAUGAAGCAAGCUGCCCACCAUGAAGCUUGCUUCAUGGUGGGCUUCAUUCAGGGCUUACUUCAGGCAUUUCAAUGUUAAGGAAAAAGUUCGACAGUGUUGUUCAUGGGCACUAAUAAAUAGAUACCCGAGACAACAAUUGACACAGUAAAGAACAGUUUGUGGUGCAUUAACGUGCAUUAAGUGUAGUGUAUGCUUGACUCGUGUAAAUACAGGAGGAGGAGUUUGUAUGUGUAUAGGAGUAGCUGUAGCUUUCUUUAGCUGUGGUCAGCACAUCAGCACCAAGAAAUUUGUUAGAAAUGUGUGCUAAAAGAGUUCUUUCAGUUGGACAUUAAAAUGAAAAUGCAACUGAUACAAAUUCUUUGCAGAGGACAGUUUGUCGUCAGAGUGCAGGGAGAUCUUCUGCAUUUGAGAUGCCUUCUUUAGCUGCAACUCUGAAAGAGACAAGCAUUAACCUAAUUAAAUCCGCAUUAAGUCUGCAAAGUGCCAUGGCGAGGGUCUCGCGUGCAUACUCUGACCCGAGCCCCUGUCCUGGUUACCUUCGCAAUGACGCUUUAUAUGUCCAUGCACCUCACCAAACUUGCAAUUUUUUCUCCACAUCUAAUCAAAUACUCUGAACCUUACCAAAAUUGGUAAUUGAACAGUGGGCUCAUAGGCAUGUUAGCUCUGCACAUGUUCAGAUGUACAGUUUCGUACCUGUGAGCAGCGUUUGCACAUUGCUUUUUUGCUUCCAGGGCUGGCCUUCACGAUGACGAGCCGCAGGAUAAGCAGGAUCCACCGCUGCAGCUACUGCCCGUACAUGUCCACAGUGGCCAGCGCCAUCAAGAAGCAUGAGCGAACGCACACAGGGGAGCGCCCCUUUUGCUGCAAUGUGUGCCCGGCAGCUUUUGCCCAGAAGAACAACCUGGUGAUGCACUUCCGAACUCACACUGGCGAGAGGCCCUUCCAAUGCUCAGUGUGCUCCAGAAGAUUCAGCAGAAAUACUCUUCUGUCACGACACAGACGAACACACAAUAACGAGUUCCAAUCCUAACGAGGGGCUGAGAAUUAAGGACCUGCUUCACUUGAAAAGUAGUGUUGUGCACAGCUUUUACCAGGGAACACGAAUUUCACAUGAAGUGUGGCAUCGGGUCGCACACAAAAAUUAGGUCUUUCAUGGUGUCUGUCGAGAAAGCUGCAUCAACUGAACAUUACAAUAGUUGCAUUAGAAUCAGUAGGCUGUUUACAAAUUUUCUUUGGACAUGAAUGAGUUCUGAUGGUGGUAGUACUUGUGCAUCACCAUUCAUUUCAUUUAUUUACCUGAAGACCUCAGUAUCUUAUUCUUUUUUUCUUGCCUGCUUCAUUCUCUUGGCACGAGUUGCAAAUACAGGGUAUCUGAUGACAAGGUGUCAUUUAAUUCUUUAAAAUAGGCUGCGUGACAAAAAUUUGAAACAUCCUAAGUGAAACUCAUAAAUGUUUGUGUCAUGCAUUAAUUAACCUAAUUUUGUUAAUUCAACUUCAAAAUUACCCAAGCUAGGAUAGCAGUUUUUGUCAUGAAUUUGUAUGCCUGUUGCUAUAGCACACUAGUCUAAUCACGUGGUCUUUCAUAAUAUUUCCACAGAAAUUGGGCACCUAAAAAUUUAUUGCUUGGGUAAGCAUACUCGCUGAAAUUUGCAUUUGUGGGAAUGUUGACUCACCCAAAAAACCAUUCCUUCCUGUGCAGAAGAAAGCACCACACUGCUAUCAGACCUUUCGUCCUUAUCAAUAUGUCUGUCGUCAUUCAGCACCCACUAAUAAUGGUGGGUGGCACAGCAAGCCCUUGAACAAAAUUAAACUCUGUUGCUCUCAUUGCCAGCAUUUUUGCACAUGCAAAUGUCCGUUAGUGUACUUCGCCCAAGACAGACUGGAUUUUCUGUUACGAAGCUGUGGUACAAAUCUUACGCAAAACCCUGUGGUUUCAAUUGGAAUACAGCGCUAUGGACGUACUGCUAUGGACAGCCAAAUUUGUGAGGAAAAGUGGUACCCUAGCUUUGCUAAUUUCGAGUUCAAUUUUUAAGAUGUACUCAAUUCCCUAUUUUACAAGAAUCAAACAAUACUACCUCGUCAGACACCAAAUUCGCCCUCCAAUUAAACGUAGCUUUAAUGCAGCAGGCGCUAGAAUGACAAACCUAGCAUGUUCAUAGUCUCUCACUGCCAUCUGCGUUCAUGCAUUUCCACUUAAGGAGUGGUACCCACGUCCAUCGUUGAAAUAAAAUGGUAAAGAACCCCAGUACCUUGUUAUUCGACUGGGUAGCCUACUUAUGGGAUAACCUUUUUAUCUGAUGUAGGUUGCAGUGAACGGAAGGGAAGAGUACUGCAAAAAACUUUUUUUGUUACCAUAAUGUGGCCAGAGAAUGUUUCCUUUCACCCAACUAAUAUGAUUGGUGAAUGUAAAAUGGCUGUUCAUGUCCACUCCUUGGUUUGCUUAUGAUGUGUUUUGCCAAGGCAGACGCGCACCUUGACUAUCUGCGGAUAAGUCAAGGGUAUGUAAAUGCUGACUUUUGUAGGGUUUUGCAUAACAACACGAUUCCUUUACCAUAGAUGCCAUAUAUAUUAUGCAAUAGGUAUGUUACUCAUUUAUUGUAGGCCCUGGAUUCACUGUCCAGGCUUAUUCUUGGAGGCAGGCUUGGAGGAAAAUCCUCGGUUAUAACUGAACUCGAUUGGAACCCUCUCAUGAGUCUGCGGAGUGUGGUGCAGAAAGAUGUUGAGAGCACAUCGACAUACUUUUUUUUGAAGGGGUUGCGACACUUCUCCCAAAGCUAUGCAGGACAAGCACUGUCGUACAUGUCAUACAUUGUCGUAUGCAUUGAUGUGAAGCUACAUUCCAAGUUUUAGAACAAAGAGGGUAACAGACACAUCGAAAGUCGGUACCGCAAAUACCGAAGCUCUUGCAUCAUUGCAGGUGUCUCAGCCAGUAAGGCAGCGCGAGAGAGGUAACAUGCUUAGGAGUACCAAUGGGAACGGACAUAGCUACCAUGACUAUGACAUGUAGAAAAUUAAUGAAAUUAAUAUUUUUUCCAUAACUAUGACUAUGAACAUAAGUAUGACAUGUAGAAAAUUAAUGAAAUUAUUAUUUUCCUUGAUACUCUAGAUUGCAGUACAAUGUGUACAUGAUGUAAUAAAUUGCAUCUAUCAAAGUGUCACAACCCCUUUAAUGCAUUUGAGUCUCAAAUUAUGUUCCUUUUUUGACAAUAUAGUUCAACACACCCUGGAGAAUAAUGUAUGUUACAGGAAACAUAAUACAGCACAGAGGCCGUUCCAGAACAGAUUUGUAAGUUUGAAUCAUCAUCACCUCCUUAGCUGUUUCCUACCUGUGGAACACAGGUGUGCAUCAAUGAUUCUGCUGUAAUACCUUAUCUUGUUUGUAUACAUUGUUUGCCCUAUAUUAUUGUGAUCAUUGUCACCUCUUGAACUGUUGUUACUGGGCACGUGCAAAUAAUUAUUUUAAAACCGUACCGAAUAGACGCAUAACAGAAGAGAAUAUGAAGCAAAUUGUUGUAUAACUGUACUGGAUACACAUGUAGCACUUGAAUGGAUGCUUAUAAACAAGUGUAUGGCAUGUGCACGCCAUAUAUUUGUAUGGAUCAGGAUAUGAUGUAGCUGUCACUUUGUUUUAUGCCUACCUCUGUGCUGUUUUCGGCCUUGUGCAUGACGUGUGCAGUUCCAGAACUACGUAUUCAAGUGAAGAAACAUCAAAUCAAUUCGAAAUUCGAAUACAUUGUACUCCAUAUUCAUUUUGGAAAUUGAAUCGAUACAGAAUUAUUCACCUCACAAUUCAAAAAAAUUUGAAUAUGUAUUCACACAAACCUAGUUGUAACACAAAAGCAUCUUUGCAGAUGUCGGUUAGGUUUUGAGCACCACCUCAUAUUUUUUCAAUACGUGAAUUAAAGCAAUAACUGUUCUUUCAUAAGUAAAGUUAACUAUACCUCAGCAAAAGGAAUUGCUGUUGUUUCAUGAGUGUUUCACGUGAACCGCUGUUCUAUGAAUUCAACGACUUCGCUGAGCAUUCUUUAUGCCACGCAUUCGCAUUGUGUAUGUCGAAAAAGGUUCAGACAUUGUAGGAAUGUCUGAUGCCAUGCAGCUGAACAUUCUCCUAACAGCUUUUAUGCUGUGUCUAUUACGGGUACCCUGCAUCACGUGCUUUAAUCUCUCUCAAUAUUCAGUUCUAGCCUGACCUUCAGCACAGGCUGAACUGUAGGGCCUCAUUUCCUCGUCUUUCGGGAUGGUGGCACAUUGGGGAAUAUUUUGGAGGGACUUGAUUUUGCGGUACAUGUUCAUUGCACCGUGGGGCUCUUCUGGGUAUCACACGCACAUGGAGUCAGCGGGAGAAGCUAACAAAGGCAACUGAGCGGAUGCCUAUGCUUCCUGCAUCUUCGAUUCGCCCAGUUCAAAGUGUUUGGUUUCAGGGUCCUUACUAAGUCUGCCGGCGCAGGUAUUUAGGUCGAUGCGCAGCCGCCUUUUGUGCAGUCAUUCUUGUAUCUGCAUCGUGACAGUAAGGAUGGUGGCAGUUGCACUGUCUUUAUGCUGUGAAAUUUGCUGCCGCCAUGUCUGUACUGUGAUUACUUCGUCAUUUUGAAUGCAUGAACCUUGCCCGCAGUGCCGGUAUCUUCCUGUCAUUGCUACCAUUACUUUUAAAAAAGCGGUAAAAAUACACACGGCAAACACAACGAAUUAAAAUUUAACAAUAGACAUUGACGUUUUGGAGUUUAUGCAGACCCCCUUCAUCGGAGUAAAGCAGGAGGCGGUUACCCGGUUCUAUUUACGUAUGUAGCAAGGGGGCGUAGCAGUCGGGUAGUGGUCCGGGGUGCUUGUUCAAAGCAUUAUUUGUUCUUUUGAUGAACCAGGAUUCAAUUUGUUUGCGCACUCCCCAACGACUUUCACGUGCCAAAAUAACAGGGUUGUUAACACCAUUAUUUUGCGGGACUUUAAUUUUACGAAAGGAUGGUGGUCGUGAAAUAUGCAUAAAUGAAAUCCUCAUAAAAAUAACAUUUUUGAAAAAGAGAUUGUCUGUCUUGCUUAAAAUCACUUAUGCUCAACCCAUUUUGAGCCAUAUUGUAGCUGUGCACCGAUGUUCUACCAAGCUUUGCUUGACAGAGAACAUAACUAUGCAGCUGUUUCCUAAGUAGCUGUGAAAUUGCAUUGGAAAGCUACUUUUCUGUUGCAUAUGUGUGAUACAAGUGAUGCAAAUCACUGCCUGCAUAUUAUUGGACUGUAAAUUCCGCCAGUAAUACCUGUCUGCAGCUAGUAAAGCCCACAUUUGUAUAACUAACUUGUUGUUGUGUUACUGUUGUAUCUCCAGCAUUAUUAGUGACCUCUUACAUUUUGGAAGCAUGAGUAAUGUCAAUGGGAGCAAGCAUGUACUCUGUUUGAUAUUCUAGCUUUCAUCUUAACCUAAUCCUACCGUUCCCUCACAGCAAAGGGGAGCAUUAUACACAGCAUUACAUCGAACAUAUUUUUGACCUGAAAUGAUUGGUAUUGCAUCCUGUAAUUCUAAGGGCUGUUAUGUUCAGGGUUGCUUCCAACUUGUGCCACCAUAAAAUCAGGCCUUUCAAAUAAUUCUGGAAAAGACCUACCACUGAGAAGAAUCUCUAUCAGGUGUUCUUAACAUUGGUAUCACUUGAACUCCUUUUACCAAUCCAAAAGGGGAGGUGACCUGUGAAUGCUGAAAACUUGUUAGGGCACCAUUAUAACAGCAAAAUAUAUUGUUUAAUUUAAAGUUUAUGUGUAUUUACUGCAAUUUACCUGCACAGUGAAAGAUGUUUCACCUUCAAGUGUGCCACAGUUUUGUGAUGUUUCCUACCUUUCUUGCAAAUUUUGCAGAGUUCCCGUUUGAAAUCCACAUAUAAUGAAUCAGGUGUCAGCACAAGACACUUUUCAUGCCACAGUUUUUUUUUUUUUUUUUUUUUUUUUUUUUCAUUUGCUGCAAAGGCAAUGAGGUACUUAGGGUGUUUGUAAGAAAAGAAAAUUAUUGAACACUCCACAACUCAUCAGGUCAUCGCCCCUGUCCCGACGACGAUGCCCAGUGGAGCUACUCAACGAAAGCUUGACUGGCAAAUGAGUACACGUUUGCAGGACCCUUCAAGCUGAAUUUUUUUUAUUUAUUUGGUUUUAUUGGUUUACAUGAGUCUUUACACCAUGCUUACUAUUAAUAAAACAUGUCAAAAUGGUGAACGUUUGAUAAAACUGUGACUGUGCUGGAAUAAGCAAUGGCUGAUCUAAAUGGGUCUUUGGUGAACGUUUCUACACCUUCCUUCUCAACAGCAAAACAAAAGAAUGAGCUUAGAGAAAAAGUGUUAUAGUUAUCUAUAUCGUAGGUAAAAAUGGCUAGUAACAACAAGUGCCUAUGUUAUGUCAUUUGCAUGUUUAAUGUCUUUGAAGAAGGGUCACUACAUUGUUUUAUUGGAGUUUUAUGAUGAUGGAAAGAAGGUCUUUGACUCUCGAAUCCUGCUCCUUCAUGCGAGAGUGCAGCCUAGUGAGGUUGGGGAGCCCAUUACCAAGUGUCACGCAUUCUGUUACAAGUUGCAGUUGCUUUCAAGCAGUUACAUAUCCGGUCUUCAUUUGGUAUGCACCUACAUUCUUUCUUUUUUUAGACUCAGCAGUACAACUUUCGUAUCUAUCAUGUGAAGGCUGGAUACUCAUUGCUUUUAUGUUAACAUUGCACACACUCUUCGUUUGCUCAGUAAAUUUUUCUUUUUCUAGUUCCGGCGGAUUGGAACAUUCAAUGCAUGCCACCAAGUGGAAGUGAAGAAGUAUGUGUCGCCCCUCAAACCAGAGGAAAAGUCAGAAACGGUGCAGUGCCCACGCACGGACUCAUGGUGGCCAUCCAGGAAGAGAUGCACUGGUGUAGAUUCUGUCCAUAUCGGUCUUCAAGUGCCUAUGAUCUCAAAGAGCACCUAGAAAUACACACUAGAAAUCGUCGAUUCCGAUGCACUGUAUGUGGUGACGGCUUCCAUCGCAAGCAGCACUUGCGUGCACAUAUGACAAGGCAUACCGGAGAAAGACCUUUCCUGUGCACACUAUGCAAUGCUACAUUUGCACUGAAGCACCAUCUUGAACGACACAGGCGAAAUCGGGCUUGUUGCUCUACUGUGUGAUGUUUUAUUCAGUGUGUUUUUCUAGGAGCACCAGAACUGCGAGGAGGAGUGACUACAGCUGUAUUGUAAACAAAUAGCAUAAUUGUCUGCUGUAUUGUAGUGUCGGUUGUAAUGUUUCCUAGCAGUGUCCGCUGAUUUUAGAGUCUUACCUGUGUGCAAAGAAACAAAUGCUCAGGUCAAAUGCGUCUCAUCUAAUCCUGGUCAGAUCAAACAAUGUUCGAAUGGGCACUGGGCAAAUUGCACAUACCUUACCUCAUCUUAUGUUGUCUUUUGCCACUUGUCUGAUAGCUACAUGCUUGUUGGUUUUACAGGUUGUUCAUAAGCUCAUCAGAUGCAAAAAAUAAAAUAAAAAAUCAGUGUCUGAACUUGGAACUUGCAGAGAUUUUAUGCAGUUUCUGAGAUUCAAUCCUUGCUGUUAUAAUACAAGACUUGCCAAUGGCAACAGCCACCUUAAAUACUUCAACGUAAACAUGUGCAUGCGGAUAGGUCCCUUGGGGACCUGCCCACAGCACUUCGGGGCUUGGUGACCUGUCCUGUAGGCUCCCCGAGCUACAGCAGAUGACACUUCGGUCAGGAUGUAUUGAAGAAAUUAGGGUUGUUCUGGUCCUUGUGUUUUCCAGUGAGGUAGGAUGUGUUGUGUUUGCCAGGUUUUGAGUUCCGUAUUUUUUUAUGAUUUUGUGUGUACGUGUGCGUGUGUUUUGUUAUGUAUAACAGUGUUGGUUUUCUAGCACAUCUUCGUUUGAACUAAAAACAAAAAGAAUGCUGGUAAUUACCUUUAGGCUGAUGAAAUGUGGGAUUGUUUUGUGUCUGGCAGUGAUUACAAAUAAACAUUCCGAUUUUUGUAGCCCAUUUUGUUGUUCGUUGUUAAAUUCUGUGAGUGCUCUUACUCAGUCAGUUACUUGGUCACGUUUGUUCCAUGCACUAUGUUGCCUUGAAUUGUGUUCUAAGUUUUCAGGACCCCUGCAAAUCUGUGUGUAUAGAUUGUCAUAUUUUGCAUGGCCUGUGUACUAGAUAGUAACAUAACAAUAUUACGGGCACUACUGUAAUGAAGUAAAUGUAUGCAUUUCUAUUGACAUCUGUUGGUAUCUAGUUUAUAUAACUAAAAUAGGAAAUUGUGCCUGUGCUUACAUACACUGAGAUCUUGCAAUUCAAAGGAACUAAAGUAAUAUUAUUGUGACUCUAAACUUAUCUGAUCAGAACUACCUUGCUAUAAUACAUAUGCCUAUGUUAUCAAUUACAUUAAUAAUACCAUUUUUUCUUACAAACAAACAAACAAAUACCAUUGAUUGCAUCAGAAAAGGAUCCGAUUUUCGUGGCUGCCUACAAAAACUAUUUAUCAUAACUUUAUUUCUGGUGCUUGCCAUUUGUGUACAAUGUCUACAACACAUGAGAUUUGAUAUCUGUGACAGAAAACUCCAUCUCCACUUUCUAUUCCCCAGAUACUCUCAUUUUUGCCCUAAGUCUUAUGCUCUUCUAUUUCUUAUUCUUUUGUCCUUAGGUGUUAUUCUCCCUCACCUUUAGUUUUGUUUGGCAUGUUAGAGCAGCAGUGCUCUUGACUGUUUGAAAUUGAAGCAGGCAGCACAUGGAACGACCUGCAGAAUUUCCUAGAGGAGCGUUUGGUGUCAGUCGGCACAGAUGCUGGAGCACAUGGGGCAU